GACGAACGCUGGCGGCGUGUUUAACACAUGCAAGUCGAACGGAAAGGCCUCUUUCGGGGGGUACUCGAGUGGCGAACGGGUGAGUAACACGUGAGUAACCUGCCCUUGACUUUGGGAUAACUUCAGGAAACUGGGGCUAAUACCGGAUAGGAGCUCCUGCUGCAUGGUGGGGGUUGGAAAGUUUCGGCGGUUGGGGAUGGACUCGCGGCUUAUCAGCUUGUUGGUGGGGUAGUGGCUUACCAAGGCUUUGACGGGUAGCCGGCCUGGGAGGGUGACCGGCCACAUUGGGACUGAGAUACGGCCCAGACUCCUACGGGAGGCAGCAGUGGGGAAUAUUGCACAAUGGGUGGAAGCCUGAUGCAGCAACGCCGUGUGCGGGAUGACGGCCUUCGGGUUGGAAACCGCUUUCGCUCAUGACGAAGCUUUGUGUGACGGUAGUGGGUAAAGAAGCACCGGCUAACUACGUG
rnacentral:rRNA from 1 species